GAUGAACGCUGGCGGCGUGCUUAACACAUGCAAGUCGAACGGUGAAGGCGGAGCUUGCUCUGCUGGAUCAGUGGCGAACGGGUGAGUAACACGUGAGCAAUCUGCCCCUGACUCUGGGAUAAGCGCUGGAAACGGCGUCUAAUACUGGAUACGAGCUGCGAAGGCAUCUUCAGCAGCUGGAAAGAACCUCGGUCAGGGAUGGGCUCGCGGCCUAUCAGCUUGUUGGUGAGGUAACGGCUCACCAAGGCGUCGACGGAUAGCCGGCCUGAGAGGGUGACCGGCCACACUGGGACUGAGACACGGCCCAGACUCCUACGGGAGGCAGCAGUGGGGAAUAUUGCGCAAUGGGCGAAAGCCUGAUGCAGCAACGCCGCGUGAGGGACGACCGCCUUCGGGUUGUAAACCUCUUUGAGCAGGGAAGAAGCGAAAGUGACGGUACCUGCAGAAAAAGCGCCGGCUAACUACGUG
rnacentral:rRNA from 1 species